CUUAAUCGACCCCAGCAGCAACGGCCGAUCCCCCGGCCGGUCCUGCCCGUACGUCGCCAGCAACGCCUGCGCCUC
rfam:Micromonospora echinospora strain DSM 43816 genome assembly, chromosome: I